AGCAGUCGCCGCGGUAAUACGUAGGUCCCGAGCGUUGUCCGGAUUUAUUGGGCGUAAAGCGAGCGCAGGCUGUUAGAUAAGUCUGAAGUUAAAGGCUGUGGCUUAACCAUAGUACGCUUUGGAAACUGUUUAGCUUGAGUGCAAGAGGGGAGAGUGGAAUUCCAUGUGUAGCGGUGAAAUGCGUAGAUAUAUGGAGGAACACCGGUGGCGAAAGCGGCUCUCUGGCUUGUAACUGACGCUGAGGCUCGAAAGCGUGGGGAGCAAACAGGAUUAGAUACCCCAGUAGUCCCUGUCUCUUAUACA
rnacentral:rRNA from 1 species